rnacentral:rRNA from 1 species
UGGCUCAGGACGAACGCUGGCGGCACGCUUAAAACAUGCAAGUCGAACGUGAAGCCCGGGCUUGCCCGGGUGGAAAGUGGCGAACGGGUGCGUAACACGUGAGCAACCUGCCCCGAAGACCGGGAUAACACCGGGAAACCGGUGCUAAUACCGGAUGCCUUCACCAUGUCGCAUGGCGAGGUGAAGAAAUGGAUUCCGCUUCGGGAUGGGCUCGCGGCCUAUCAGCUUGUUGGUGGGGUAACGGCCUACCAAGGCAACGACGGGUAGCUGGUCUGAGAGGAUGUCCAGCCACACUGGGACUGAGACACGGCCCAGACUCCUACGGGAGGCAGCAGUUAGGAAUCUUGCGCAAUGGGCGAAAGCCUGACGCAGCGAUGCCGCGUGCGGGAUGAAGGCCUUCGGGUCGUAAACCGCUUUCAGCAGGGACGAUUGUGACGGUACCUGCAGAAGAAGCCCCGGCCAACUACGUGCCAGCAGCCGCGGUAAUACGUAGGGGGCGAGCGUUGUCCGGAUUUAUUGGGCGUAAAGAGCUCGUAGGCGGUUUGGUAAGUCGGAUGUGAAAUCUCCACGCUCAACGUGGAGGGGCCACUCGAUACUGCCAUGACUCGAGUCCGGUAGAGGAGUGUGGAAUUCCCGGUGUAGCGGUGAAAUGCGCAGAUAUCGGGAGGAACACCCGUAGCGAAGGCGGCACUCUGGGCCGGAACUGACGCUGAGGAGCGAAAGCGUGGGGAGCAAAUAGGAUUAGAUACCCUGGUAGUCCACGCCGUAAACGUUGGGCACUAGGUGUGGGGAUCUAUCGACGGUUUCCGUGCCGAAGCUAACGCAUUAAGUGCCCCGCCUGGGGAGUACGGCCGCAAGGCUAAAACUCAAAU